UACGGCGAGUGAAGCGGCAAAAGCUCAAAUUUGAAAUCCUUCGGGAAUUGUAUUUUGAAGGUGGGUUUGGUUAGGAAAAGUUACUUUAAGUCCAUUGGAAAAUGGCGCCAUGGAGGGUGAUAGCCCCGUAAAAGUAUCCCUUUUCCUUUUAUCCAUUCCCUCCAAAGAGUCGAGUUGUUUGGGAAUGCAGCUCUAAGUGGGUGGUAAAUUCCAUCUAAAGCUAAAUAUUGGCGAGAGACCGAUAGCGAACAAGUACAGUGAUGGAAAGAUGAAAAGCACUUUGAAAAGAGAGUGAAAAAGUACGUGAAAUUGUUGAAAGGGAAGGGCUUGCAAGCAGACACAACCUCGGUUGGGCCAGCAUCGGAGUGGGGGGAGACAAAAAAGAAAAGGAAUGUAACUCUUUGAAGA
rnacentral:rRNA from 1 species